AGCGAACGCUGGCGGCGUGCUUAACACAUGCAAGUCGAGUGCGUAGUCCCCGCAAGGGGAUGGGCGCACGGCGCACGGGUGCGUAACACGUGGGCAACCUGCCCUUGGAUGGGGAAUAACUCCGCGAAAGCGGAGCUAAUACCGCAUAACACUCCGGGAACCGUGGUUACCGGAAUCAAAGCCGAAAGGCGUCCGAGGAG
rnacentral:rRNA from 1 species